AUGUGAGUCAAGGAUCUUCGGAAAGUGAUUAUGACGGUGCCCCGACCUUGCGCCUUCCGUAACCCUCAUUAGCCCUGCAUACAUCGAGCAUCGAAGAAAUCUUCUGUCACCAUUUUUGUGGUCAUCGAUCGUACAAAAGCGGUAGUAGACUGUCCUAAUUCCACCGUCACAAAUCAAAGAAAUGAUCGUAAUUGUUUAAACUAAUUAAACUCUUAUUAUCUAUUCCAUCAUUACAUACGAUACAACGCUUACAAAAUAUGAUUUCUGAAAAAUUUGUAACUCGCGAACUAAAAAUUGUGGUGUUAAUAUUUAGAAGUUCUGCUAAAUAUUUGCAAAAUUUGUAUGCUCGCAGUUAUAUUUAACUCAUAUUAUGCGCAAUAUAAUAGCAAAUAUGUCUAUCGUGUAUCGGUGAUGGUUGUGAAAAUUGUAAGAUGAAAAUUGUCUAAAGAAAAAUUACAAUAAUAAAUGAAAUACGAUAGUAAGAGAAAAUGUUUAAGGAUUAUCCAUUUCAGAAGUAACAUGAAUUUCCGGUUUGUGCACCGGGAUGAUCAACGCACGUGGUUACUAAAAAUAACUGUCCGAUAUUUGAGAUCAGAAAACAUUAAGAUGCUGAUCAGAUACUCCAAUAUAUUCGAGAGGAUUGUCAGUAAAUAUCUAGCAAUUUUGAACGACGAGUCAACGUAUGAUAAGACAUUCUAUGAAGACUGAUGAACAACCGAUACACUGGAAAUACAGCUAUUACUUAGACACAUAGUAGUAUUACAAAUAUGUUCCUAGAAUUUAUUUCUCUUAUUUCAAUGUGCCGAAUUAUGUCACUGAGAUUAUGUCCAUCAUUAUAUUUUAGGACAUUCCCAGAUACGCAUUACUAACACGUACUACAAUAUAUAGUACAUAAUAAAACCCUCCAGAUAUAUUUAUUUUAUUUUUAGAAAAAAAAUUCAUCUUUAUCGCUUUUCUACUGAGUUACACGAAUAAUAGAAUUAAAAUUA